UACGAAGGGGGCUAGCGUUGCUCGGAAUCACUGGGCGUAAAGGGUGCGUAGGCGGGUCUUUAAGUCAGGGGUGAAAUCCUGGAGCUCAACUCCAGAACUGCCUUCGAUACUGGAAGACUCGAGUCCGGGAGAGGUGAGUGGAACUGCGAGUGUAGAGGUGAAAUUCGUAGAUAUUCGCAAGAACACCGGUGGCGAAGGCGGCUACCUGGACCGAUAUUGACGCUGAGACGCGAAAGCGUGGGGAGCAAACAGG
rnacentral:rRNA from 1 species